UUUAUGAUGAAAUCUUAAGCCUCAUGAAUUUGUAAAUGAUCACAAUGGGAAAAAAGCAAGGCUGCAUUUGAAAAGAUGUGGCUAACACUCAACGAAAUGUGCUUUGCCCUCACAUUUGCUAUCUUGAUCCUUGCCAUAGCUCUCUAUGGUAUUCUGAUGGGAGAGAAGUAGAUCUGAGGUUACAGAGCUCCUGAGUUCACUGGGUCUCUCUUGCAGGUCACUAGGCUAUACACAGUAGCCCCUAUGAGGCAUGUUGCCUGGCCUUCAUCUCCGGCCCAUGAGUGGUCGCAAUCCCAUCUCUGCCUCAGACACUGUUUUCCCCACCAUCCCUGCCCCUCACUUCCAGUGGCUACCUUACCUGUAUUCACCAGUAGAUUAAGCUAAGGUAGGUGCCACAGUCUCAUUUACCAGUUUCCUGUACUAAGCUGGGUACUAGAGGUGAGGGGUCCUGUUGCAGUAGUACACCACUGCUCGUAAUGAAGCCCCUCCUGCUGCCUGUACCUAAAGGUGGAAACUUAAUGGUAAGACUAAACAAAAGAACCAACAAGGCAGCACAGAAGACAUAAACUAAUGGGGAUAUUAAAAUAACAAAUCCUCAGCAAAGCAAGAUAGCACACAGUAUUUCUUGAGGGAAUACAUGCAAGAUACUUCCUCAAGCCUGGAAGGUCUAGAGAUGAGGACAAUGCCUGGGAGACCUGCCGAGUGCGUUUCCUAUCAGUGAACUUCAUUUUAUCUGCAGUCCUGGGAAAAGAACCCAGGGCCCUAAGCAUCCCUGACAAGGGCUCUGCCACUGGGCUUAUAUCCCCUUUCCCCAGUGAAUGUUAAAAUAAGGUCAAGGGCUUUUCUGUAGGCUGCCUCUUCUCAUGAGCUAGCUCACGGCACCUCAGGCAUAUGACUGAUCUCAUUUCUUACAAGAGCGAAGUAUGUAUGGCAGUAGAGUAGAGGUAUGGUACAAUGGAUCUGGUUUGUCUCCGUAGGGAACAAAAAGGCAAAAA